GGGAGGAGUCGAAUAGGGAGAGGAGGUCACUGUCGAACACGUCGCCACCAAUUACAAUCGUCGCCGAAACCGGGACAGAUUCACCGACUUAUUACUUCAGGCAAGGGAUCUUAUUUCGAAAAUCACCGAGGAGAGGAGUUCUAUUAUUGAUCAAAAUAAAAGACCUCUGCAAGAACUGGUUCUUGCAGCCACUCAAGUUCCAGGUCAGGAGGGUCAAAGUUGGUUUCAGGAUACUGCUGAUGCUGUAACUGUAAGGCAGUUCCACUGGCUAUUUAAGGAUCCAAGAGCAAGGAACAUUGAGGAUGUAUUUAUUCUUUCCGGGGAUCACCUGUAUAGAAUGAACUACAUGGAUUUGAUUCAAGUAAGUC